CUGUAGCUACAACUGAGAGCUCUGUAGGCCACAUUUUGGACCGUCUGAUGCACUUCAUAGAUGACUUGUUGCUUUCACAAGAGCUCUUAUUUUCAUACUCCAAAUAGCAAGUAUUGAGAUCUAGAGGAAGUUCCACAGAGGCCUCAUCAGUCAUUCUGUGCUUGACAGUCUUCAGAUGGAAAUUCCUGAAUAGAAAACAGGUUAGAAGAAAGAAGAAGACAUUUGAGAAUAAAGUCAAAGGCAUUUGUAAAGGCCAGAGGGUACAACGAAUCAGUUUUGUUAGGAGGUCACCGAGUUCCACUGGCUUGCAUCAGCCACUUGAAGGAUUAAGAAGUUUGAGUGGUCUCAACUGGGCUCCCUGCUGAACAUCUAACAACAUUGAAAUAAAGGUGUCACCAGGACUGCAAUUACUAGAGGCUCUGGGCUCAACAGGAGACUCUGUUCCACACGUUU